AGUGAACGCUGGCGGUAGGCCUAACACAUGCAAGUCGAACGGCAGCACAGUAAGAGCUUGCUCUUACGGGUGGCGAGUGGCGGACGGGUGAGGAAUACAUCGGAAUCUACUUUUUCGUGGGGGAUAACGUAGGGAAACUUACGCUAAUACCGGAUACGACCCACGGGUGAAAGCAGGGGAUCUUCGGACCUUGCGCGAUUGAAUGAGCCGAUGUCGGAUUAGCUAGUUGGCGGGGUAAAGGCCCACCAAGGCGACGAUCCGUAGCUGGUCUGAGAGGAUGAUCAGCCACACUGGAACUGAGACACGGUCCAGACUCCUACGGGAGGCAGCAGUGGGGAAUAUUAGACAAUGGGCGCAAGCCUGAUCCAGCCAUACCGCGUGGGUGACGAAGGCCUUCGGGUUGUAAAGCCCUUUUGUUGGGAGAGAAAAGCAGCAGGUUAAUACCCCGCUGUUCUGACGGUACCCAAAGAAUAAGCACCGGCUAACUUCGUG
rnacentral:rRNA from 1 species